rnacentral:rRNA from 1 species
GACGAACGCUGGCGGCGUGCUUAACACAUGCAAGUCGAACGGAAAGGCCCUGCUUUUGUGGGGUGCUCGAGUGGCGAACGGGUGAGUAACACGUGAGUAACCUGCCCUUGACUUUGGGAUAACUUCAGGAAACUGGGGCUAAUACCGGAUAGGAGCUCCUGCUGCCUGGUGGGGGUUGGAAAGUUUCGGCGGUUGGGGAUGGACUCGCGGCUUAUCAGCUUGUUGGUGGGGUAGUGGCUUACCAAGGCUUUGACGGGUAGCCGGCCUGAGAGGGUGACCGGCCACAUUGGGACUGAGAUACGGCCCAGACUCCUACGGGAGGCAGCAGUGGAGAAUAUGGCACAAGGGGCGGAAGCCUGAUGCAGCAACGCCGCGUGCGGGAUGACGGCCUUCAGGUUGUAAACCGCUUUCGCCUGUGACGAAGCGAGAGUGACGGUAAUGGGUAAAGAAGCACCGGCUAACUACGUG